UGGGCCAUCAAAGGUGGUUGUAUAAGAUAGGAUUGUGCAAGUGGGCUUUGGGGACUAAAUCCACUUUCUUGAAUGGUAAGGCCCAUUGCCAUUGUUUCUAAGAAUCAGGCCCCCAAAAAAAAAACACCCCUCCUCUUUCACACACUAAAAAUCACCACAGAUGAGAGAGAGAGAGAGAGAGAGAGAAAAAGAGAAAGAGAGAGGGAGAGAAAGCAGGCAGAGGAGAGCUGGCCAGGGCUGCAUGCGGCGACCUCGACAGUGCAGCUGCGGCGUUAGUGGAGUCGGUGCUUCGUGUCCUACGACUGCGUGGUGUGACGUCGUGUCAAGGCUGCGGAACCAAGCCAAGAAAGGCUACAGUCAUCGCCGGUGCAGAACUUGCGGUAAAAGCUAUGGUUUUGAUUGCGCUAUUCAUGUCAAGGGCACACGGGCUCCGACCGUUAUGAGGCGAGAGCGUCAGCUCAUGGUGGCCGCCACUCCGGGAGUAGGCUCUUUCAAGGUCCACUUCCGGUGCUAAGAAACCUAGGCUCAUCACUUCACAAACUGCUACAACAUCUCAUGCUUCCAUGGGAUCCAAUACCUCCAUACACCCAUCAUUAACAGAGACCAAUUACUUCCUAUAGUCCCUCAUGCCCAAUGGAUUUGAAAUUCUGACCAUGCACCAUUCAUGAGCAGAGAAAAGAAAGCACAAACAGAGCACAACUAUGGAAAACCCAUAGGCUUUUGAACCAAAUCCAGCUUCAUAUAUUAAUCCAAGGAUCCGGAGUAGGAGGAAGAGACAUGGGGUAAUAAUAUGAUUAAUGAAAGACUGGGCAAACCAAUAUGUACAGAAGCUAUCUAUCAGACAAAUCAAUGCAACUCAAUAUAUAAUGAAAUCGAAUGACAAUGCUCAGGUGGCAAGAUCAGAGAUGAUUAAAACCCGUGACUGUGAGGAAGAAUGCAUGAGGAAGGCACCAAGGACUCAUACCUGAGACGCUCUUCAAAACGUUCCUCCCCCCAAGCUUCAGCUGAUACCGUCUCCCUCCUCUUUUCCCCUGGUU
rnacentral:lncRNA from 1 species